rnacentral:rRNA from 1 species
GGAUGUAUUUAUUACCAAUCCCUGGUGAUUCAUGAUAACUCUAGGGCCUUGCGCCGGCGAUGCUUUCAAUCCCUUAACUUCUUUAUGGUUUGAUCAAGCCUGUUUCGCGAACGGCAAAUUAUGGGGGCACCCAGGAGAGGCCUAAAGCUUCC